AGCGAACGCUGGCGGCAGGCCUAACACAUGCAAGUCGAGCGGAUGACGGGAGCUUGCUCCUUGAUUCAGCGGCGGACGGGUGAGUAAUGCCUAGGAAUCUGCCUGGUAGUGGGGGACAACGUUUCGAAAGGAACGCUAAUACCGCAUACGUCCUACGGGAGAAAGCAGGGGACCUUCGGGCCUUGCGCUAUCAGAUGAGCCUAGGUCGGAUUAGCUAGUUGGUGAGGUAAUGGCUCACCAAGGCGACGAUCCGUAACUGGUCUGAGAGGAUGAGCAGUCACACUGGAACGGAGACACGGUCCAGACUCCUACGGGAGGCAGCAGUGGGGAAUAUUGGACAAUGGGCGAAAGCCUGAUCCAGCCAUGCCGCGUGUGUGAAGAAGGUCUUCGGAUUGUAAAGCACUUUAAGUUGGGAGGAAGGGCUGUAGGCUAAUACCUUGCAGUUUUGACGUUACCGACAGAAUAAGCACCGGCUAACUUCGUGCCAGCAGCCGCCGUAACAC
rnacentral:rRNA from 1 species